GGGUGUGACUGCGUACCUUUUGUAUAAUGGGUCAGCGACUUAUAUUCUGUAGCAAGGUUAACCGAAUAGGGGAGCCGGAGGGAAACCGAGUCUUAACCGGGCGUUAAGUUGCAGGGUAUAGACCCGAAACCCGGUGAUCUAGCCAUGGGCAGGUUGAAGGUUGGGUAACACUAACUGGAGGACCGAACCGACUAAUGUUGAAAAAUUAGCGGAUGACCUGUGGCUGGGGGUGAAAGGCCAAUCAAACCGGGAGAUAGCUGGUUCUCCCCGAAAGCUAUUUAGGUAGCGCCUCGUGAAUUCAUCUCCGGGGGUAGAGCACUGUUUCGGCUAGGGGGCCAUCCCGGCUUACCAACCCGAUGCAAACUGCGAAUACCGGAGAAUGUUAUCACGGGAGACACACGGCGGGUGCUAACGUCCGUCGUGAAGAGGGAAACAACCCAGACCGCCAGCUAAGGUCCCAAAGUCAUGGUUAAGUGGGAAACGAUGUGGGAAGGCCCAGACAGCCAGGAUGUUGGCUUAGAAGCAGCCAUCAUUUAAAGAAAGCGUAAUAGCUCACUGGUCGAGUCGGCCUGCGCGGAAGAUGUAACGGGGCUAAACCAUG
rnacentral:rRNA from 1 species